AGUAAAGUUUUAUCCUUGCUUAUUCUCUUAUUUUCAGAUUAAAGGUACAUGUAAGAUGUGUCGCGACUAAGAGCUUGACCUGCUAAAUGUAGGUAAACUAUCAAGGUGUAAGAGUGCUAUUAAUAAUUAAAUUCUCAGUACCUAGUGCUAAUUAUAAACGAAAGUUAGAAUUGGUAAUUUUGAUUUGAAUAUCCGGCUAAAAUUUGUGCCAGCAGCCGCGGUUAUACUAAGGGGUAAAUUAAGAGAUUGUUGGUUAAAAAUGGUUAAGUAGGGGCUAAAAGUUAAAAAACUUGUUGUAAUAAAGGGUGAAAUCAGAAUUUUAGUUAACAAGAUAUUUAGUUAUAAGCUGAUACCGAAGCUGUUAAGGUAGGGGUAUGGACCAGGAUUAGAUACCCUGUUACUCCUUGCUUGAAAUAAUAUAUACCUGGGUACUAAACAGUUAUUGCCUUGAAACUCAAAGGAUUUGGCGGUAACCCAGUCUAUUUAGAGGAACCUGUCCUGUAAUCGAUAAACCACGCAGAAUCUUGCCUUGCCUUGUAGAUACAGUUUGUAUACCGUCAUUAUUAGGUAACUUCAAUAGAAGUUAGUUGCUGUAAUAAGUUUUUCUUAAUAUAUUAGAUCAAGGUGCAGCCUAUGGCCAGGUAGAGAUGGGUUACAAUAAAAUGUCUUUAAACGGAUUAAAGGAGUAUGCUUCUUUAUUAAGGUGGAUUUAAGAGUAGAGAGGUUUUAAUAUGUUCUCUCGAUUUUAGCUCUAGGUUAUGUACACAUCGCCCGUCGCUCUCGUUAGUUAAAGCGAGAUAAGUCGUAACAUAGUAGGUGUACUGGAAAGUGCACCUAGAAAUU
rnacentral:ncRNA from 1 species